UGGUUGUCGUCAGCUCGUGUCGUGAGAUGUUGGCGUAAGUCCCGCAACGAGCGCAAACCCUCGUCCUAUGUUGCCAGCGGGUCAUGCCGGGGACUCAUGGGAGACUGCCGGGGUCAAACUCGGAGGAAGGUGGGGAUGACGUCAAAUCAUCAUGCCCCUUAUGUCUUGGGCUUCACGCAUGCUACAAUGGCCGGUACAAAGGGCUGCGAUACCGCGAGGUGGAGCGAAUCCCAGAAAGCCGGUCUCAGUUCGGAUUGGGGUCUGCAACUCGACCCCAUGAAGUCGGAGUCGCUAGUAAUCGCAGAUCAGCAACGCUGCGGUGAAUACGUUCCCGGGCCUU
rnacentral:rRNA from 1 species